GAUGAACGCUAGCGGCAGGCCUAACACAUGCAAGUCGAGGGAGAAGCCCUUUCGGGGGCAGAAACCGGCGCACGGGUGCGUAACGCGUAUGCAACCUACCUUUCACAGGGGGAUAGCCCGAAGAAAUUUGGAUUAAUACCCCAUAACAUUAUUGGAUGGCAUCAUUUGAUAAUUAAAACUGCGGUGGUGAAAGAUGGGCAUGCGUCCUAUUAGCUAGUUGGAGUGGUAACGGCACCCCAAGGCUACGAUAGGUAGGGGUCCUGAGAGGGAGAUCCCCCACACUGGUACUGAGACAGGGACCAGACUCCUACGGGAGGCGGCAGUGAGGAAUAUUGGUCAAUGGUCGGAAGACUGAACCAGCCAUGCCGCGUGCAGGAAGAAUGCCUUAUNGGUNUGUAAACUGCUUUUAUAUGGGAAGAAUAAGGCGUACGUGUACGUGA
rnacentral:rRNA from 1 species